AAGCUGCCAGUCGAAGAGCUGU
rnacentral:miRNA from 1 species